rnacentral:tRNA from 1 species
GGGUGUUUAGCUCAGGGGUAGAGCGUCUGACUCUUAAUCAGUAGGUCACUGGUUCAAAUCCAGUAACACUCA